rnacentral:rRNA from 1 species
UCCAGACUCCUACGGGAGGCAGCAGUGGGGGAUAUUGCACAAUGGGGGAAACCCUGAUGCAGCAACGCCGCGUGAGUGAAGAAGGUCUUCGGAUUGUAAAGCUCUGUUCUUGGUGAAGAUAAUGACGGUAGCCAAGGAGAAAGCUCCGGCUAACUACGUGCCAGCAGCCGCGGUAAUACGUAGGGAGCGAGCGUUAUCCGGAUUUACUGGGUGUAAAGGGAGCGUAGACGGCGGCGCAAGUCCGGAGUGAAAGCCCGCGGCCCAACCGUGGGACUGCUCUGGAAACUGUGCGGCUUGAGUGCGGGAGGGGCAGGCGGAAUUCCUGGUGUAGCGGUGAAAUGCGUAGAUAUCAGGAGGAACACCGGUGGCGAAGGCGGCCUGCUGGACUGCGACUGACGUUGAGGCCCGAAAGCGUGGGGAGCAAACAGGAUUAGAUACCCCAGUAA